AGAGUUUGAUCCUGGCUCAGAACGUACGCUGGCGGCACGCCUAACACAUGCAAGUCGAACGCAGUAGCAAUACUGAGUGGCAAACGGGUGAGUAUAAUGUGGGAAUCUGCCUUUUGGUUUGGAAUAACACGGGGAAACUUGUGCUAAUACCGAAUAAGCCCUUACGGGGAAAGUUUUAAUGCCAAAAGAUGAGCCCGCACUUGAUUAGCUAGUUGGUAAGGUAAAAGCUUACCAAGGCUACGAUCAAUAGCUGUUCUUAGAGGAAGACCAGCCACAUUGGGACUGAGACACGGCCCAGACUCCUACGGGGGGCAGCAGUGGGGAAUCUUGCACAAUGGGGGAAACCCUGAUGCAGCGAUGCCGCGUGAGUGAAGAAGGCCUUUGGGUUGUAAAACUCUUUCGUCGGGGAAGAAAAUGACCGUACCCGAAUAAGAAGGUCCGGCUAACUUCGUGCCAGCAGCCGCGGUAAUACGAAGGGACCUAGCGUAGCUCGGAAUUACUGGGCUUAAAGAGCUCGUAGGUGGUUAAAAAAGUUGAUGGUGAAAUCCCAAGGCUCAACCUUGGAACUGCCAUCAAAACUUUUUAGCUAGAGUGUGAUAGAGGUAAGUGGAAUUUCUAGUGUAGAGGUGAAAUUCGUAGAUAUUAGAAAGAACACCAAAUGCGAAGGCAACUUACUGGGUCACUACUGACACUGAGGAGCGAAAGCAUGGGUAGCGAAGAGGAUUAGAUACCCUCGUAGUCCAUGCCGUAAACGAUGUGUGCUAGACGUUGGAAA
rnacentral:rRNA from 1 species